rnacentral:rRNA from 1 species
CUACGGGUGGCUCCAGGCGAGAAAACUUUGCAAUGUGCGAAAGCACGACAAGGUUAAUCCGAGUGGUUUCUGCUAAAGGAACCUUUUGACAGUCCUAGAAACACUGUUGAAUAAGGGGUGGGCAAGUUCUGGUAUCAGCCGCCGCGGUAAAACCAGCACCUCAAGUGGUCAGGAUGAUUAUUGGGCCUAAAGCAUCCGUAGCCGGCUCUGUAAGUUUUCGGUUAAAUCUGUACGCUCAACGUACAGGCUGCCGGGAAUACUGCAGAGCUAGGGAGUGGGAGAGGUAGACGGUACUCGGUAGGAAGGGGUAAAAUCCUUUGAUCUAUUGAUGACCACCUGUGGCGAAGGCGGUCUACCAGAACACGUCCGACGGUGAGGGAUGAAAGCUGGGGGAGCAAACCGGAUUAGAUACCCCGGUAGUC